CUUUGAAUUUAAUUUGUAUAUUAUUUAUUGUCACUACAUCUCAUAAAAUAAACAUGUACUUAAUCAGGAUCAUUUAUGUUGAUUGUAUUAAACAAAAUGUAAUUAAAAGGUGUGGUAAACGUUAGAAAUCUCUUUAAAGAUGUUGAUGGAACCUCAUGUAUGGGUUGGUCUUUUUUUUAUUUCAGUGUUUUUAUUUAUGAACAAAUAUAUGGGAGAACUUUGACAUAUGACAUAAUGUUAAUAUAUAGGAUAUUUCUUAUAAAUGAAGAUUUUCACCAAUAUAAGCAUUUUAUGUCUUUUGUCCUGAAAACUGUAAUAGUUAUAGAUAAACAACUGUAAAAUAGCAACCAUGCUUUAUUACUAUCUUUGAAUAAAACCUUUAAAUGAAUCUUUACACGAGUUCUGGACCUUAGAUUGUAACAGUUGACAAUUUUUUAUACAACAAUACUGAAUGUGGAAAUUCUAACAUGAACAAAAUACUCAGAACAAGACAGAACUACCAAAAUUGUAAUUCAGUUGUUGCCCUUUGAUUGGGAUUUUUCUCUUGAACAGAAGAAUAGAUAAAUAUAGAAUGAGAAAAUACACAUGCAAACUUAAUAAACAUGUCAAAUAUUUCAUUUAGCAUUGCUAGGGAAAAUAGAAUAUUUAUACAGAUUUUUAGAAAAGCAUACGUGUUUAGUUGUGUGAUUAAACUACACAGAAUAUAAGUGUGAGAAUUUUAUUGGUGCAAUAUAGACUUUUUAGUAUGAGUAUUAGCAUUAAGUGGACUUAUACCGGAAAUCUCAUCUUAUUCAUAUAUUGACUUUCCAAAGGCAAGCUCUACAUACUAAUUUCAUUUUUUCUCUUUUAAUCUUAUUUUCUUUUCAUCUGUAAAACAUUUUAUUUGAAAACAAUAACAUAUAAAUUGACUGACUUGUAACUUUU
rnacentral:lncRNA from 1 species